GGGGCAGCGGGGGGCUCCCAGGGGGCGGCAGGGGGCUCACCGGGUCUCCUGGUGGGUGCCCAGGCAGCGCACACAGCAGUAACGCGCCCCGCAGCUCACACAGGUGUAGUGGGAGGGGAGGCCGCAGACGGCGCAGAAGGGGCGCUGGGGGGGCUGGCAGUUCCCGGGGGGCAGUGGGGG